UACGAAGGGGGCUAGCGUUGCUCGGAAUACUGGGCGUAAAGCGCACGUAGGCGGAUGUGUCAGUCAGGGGUGAAAUCCCGGAGCUCAACUUCGGAACUGCCUUUGAUACAGCAAGUCUUGAGUUCGAGAGAGGUGGGUGGAAUUCCUAGUGUAGAGGUGAAAUUCGUAGAUAUUAGGAAGAACACCGGUGGCGAAGGCGGCCCACUGGCUCGACACUGACGCUGAGGUGCGAAAGCGUGGGGAGCAAACAGG
rnacentral:rRNA from 1 species